CUAACAGGAUUCCCCGAGUAACGGCGAGUGAAACGGGAAAAGCCCAUCCCUGUAAUCCCCUGGUCGCAUGGCCAGUGUGGAAAUGUGGGGUAUGGGAGUGCCCAUGCUGCGACUGCAGUCUGUCCAGGUUCUCCUGAUUGAGGCUUUUACCCAGAGCGGGUGUAAGGCCCAUAUGACGGACUGUGUUGCGGCUCGGGCGCUCCUAGGAGUCGGGUUGCUUGAGAGUGCAGCCCAAAGUGGGUGGUAAAUUCCAUCUAAGGCUAAAUACAUGCACGAGACCGAUAGUAAACAAGUACCGUGAGGGAAAGUUGAAAAGCACUUUGAAGAGAGAGUUGGACAGUACGUGAAACCGCUUACAGGUAAACGGAUGGGACCGCAAUGUCGCCCGCGGGCAUUCAGGCUGCCGGGACGGGCCUGGGCUUGGUCUAGUGGAGUUCUUUUGGACCCAUGCCGAGCCCUGCUGCCUGGCUUGGUGGCUGCACUUGCCCGCGUCGGUGAACACUUCUACCGCGUGCCGGUACAGGAAGAAGCUUGCCAGCAAGGUAGCUUGUCGUCCUUUGCGGCGCAAGAACUUAUAGGUUGGCUAUAGUUACUGACUGUCUGGUGCGCGAGGAGCUCGGGCCGCCCGCAAAGGCCCUGGUCGCUCUGCUGGCAGUGACUGGCGAGGACUGCUUGCAGUGCUCUGCCGACUAUUGUUGUGGAGGUCAGACUAGGUGCCGGAGUGGUGCGUGUAGGGUUCGAAGUGCUGUCGGCACCCCAUCCGACCCGUCUUGAAACACGGACCAAGGAGUGCAGCGUGUGCGCAAGUCAAAGGGACUACCGAAUCCCCAUGGCGUAAUGAAAGUGAAGGGACCCCUCACGGGGACCCGUGGUGUGAUCCAGAGUCUUUGACGCUCUGGCGCAACACCGGCCCGCCUCGUGGCCUUUGUGCCUGAGGCGGCGCUUGAGCGCACAUGCUGCGACCCGAAAGAUGGCGAACUAUGCUCGAGUAGGUUGAAGUCAGAGGAAACUCUGAUGGAGGACCGUAGCGAUUCUGACGUGCAAAUCGAUCGUCGAACUCGAGUAUAGGGGCGAAAG
rnacentral:rRNA from 1 species